rnacentral:rRNA from 1 species
UACCUGCAGCUCUAGUGGUGUCCGCUAUUAUUGGGCCUAAAACGUCCGUAGCCGGCUUAUUAAAUGCCUGGGUAAAUCGUACGGCUUAACCGUACGAAUUCCGGGUAGACUGAUAAGCUUGGGACCGGGAGAAGCUAGAGGUACUCCUGGGGUAGAGGUGAAGUUUUGUAAUCCUAGGGGGACCACCAGUGGCGAAGGCGUCUAGCUAGAACGGGUUUGACGGUGAGGGACGAAGCCCUGGGGAGCAAACGGGAUUAGAUACCCCGGUAGUCCAGGGUGUAAACGCUGCUUGCUUGAUGUUAGUCGGCUCCGAGCCCGAUUAGUGUCGGAGAGAAGUUGUUAAGCAAGCUGCCUGGGAAGUACGGCCGCAAGACUGAAACUUAAAGGAAUUGGCGGGGAGCACUGCAACGGGUGGAGCGUGCGGUUU